rnacentral:rRNA from 1 species
UACAGAGGUCCCGAGCGUUGUUCGGAUUUAUUGGGCGUAAAGGGUGCGUAGGUGGCAAAGUAAGUUGGAUGUGAAAUCCUGGGGCUCAACCUCAGAAUUGCAUUCAAUACUGCUUAGCUGGAGAGCUGUAGAGGAGACUGGAAUUUACGGUGUAGCAGUGAAAUGCGUAGAUAUCGUAAGGAACGCCAGUGGCGAAAGCGAGUCUCUGGGCAGCAUCUGACACUGAGGCACGAAGGCCAGGGGAGCAAACGGG